rnacentral:rRNA from 1 species
CCUUGCCAGCCCGCUCAGAAACUUCAAGGAAUUGACGGGGGCCCGCACAAGCGGUGGAGCAUGUGGUUAAUUCGAUGAUACGCGAGGAACCUUACCUGGGCUCAAAUGUAUGUUGACGUAUUCUGAAAGGGAUACUUCUUCGGACAAUAUACAAGGUGCUGCAUGGUUGUCGUCAGCUCGUGCCGUGAGGUGUCGGGUUAAGUCCCAUAACGAGCGCAACCCCUAUCAUUAGUUGCCAUCAGGUCAAGCUGGGGACUCUAAUGAAACUGCCUACGCAAGUAGUGAGGAAGGUGGGGAUGACGUCAAGUCAUCAUGGCCCUUACGGCCUGGGCUACACACGUGCUACAAUGGUCGGUACAAAGGGUUGCCAAGCCGCGAGGUGGAGCUAAUCCCAUAAAACCGAUCGUAGUCCGGAUCGCAGUCUGCAACUCGACUGCGUGAAGUCGGAAUCGCUAGUAAUCGUGAAUCAGAAUGUCACGGUGAAUACGUUCCCGGGCCUU